UACGUAGGGGGCGAGCGUUAUCCGGAAUUACUGGGUGUAAAGGGAGCGCAGGCGGGAAGCCAAGUCAGCUGUGAAAACUACGGGCUUAACUUGUAGACUGCAGUUGAAACUGGUUUUCUUGAGUGAAGUAGAGGUUGGCGGAAUUCCGAGUGUAGCGGUGAAAUGCGUAGAUAUUCGGAGGAACACCGGUGGCGAAGGCGGCCAACUGGGCUUUAACUGACGCUGAGGCUCGAAAGUGUGGGGAGCAGACAGG
rnacentral:rRNA from 1 species